rnacentral:rRNA from 1 species
CGCGCGCGAAAGUCGCAAGACAAGUAAAGCGGCGGACGGGCGAGUAACGCGUAAUCAACCUGCCCUUGAGACUGGAAUAGCCACUGGAAACGGUGGGUAAUGCCAGAUGGCCCCCCGGGUCGGCAUCGACCUGUGGGUAAACGGUGGCGCAAGCUGCUGCUCAGGGAGGGGAUUGCGUCCUAUCAGCUAGUUGGCGGGGUAAUGGCCCACCAAGGCGAUGACGGGUAGCUGGUCUGAGAGGACGACCAGCCGCACUGGGACUGAGACACUGCCCAGACUCCUACGGGAGGCUGCAGUCGAGAAUCUUCCGCAAUGGGCGAAAGCCUGACGGAGCGACACCGCGUGCAGGACGAAGGCCUUCGGGUUGUAAACUGCUGUCACGCCAUAUGAAACCCAGGCCGUUAAUACCGGCCUGGUCGACUAAAGCGAGAGGAAGUGGCGGCUAACUCUGUGCCAGCAGCCGCGGUAAGACAGAGGCCACGAACGUUGUUCGGAAUUACUGGGCAUAAAGCGCACGUAGGCGGCUAGGUCCGUCCGAUGUGAAAUACCCCGGCUCAACCGGGGAACUGCAUCGGAUACAGCCUGGCUUGAGGAUGGUUGGGGUGAGUGGAACUCCUGGUGGAGCGGUGAAAUGCGUAGAUAUCAGGAGGAACACCGGUGGCGAAAGCGGCUCACUGGACCAUUACUGACGCUGAGGUGC